rnacentral:rRNA from 1 species
UACGUAGGGUGCGAGCGUUAAUCGGAAUUACUGGGCGUAAAGCGUGCGCAGGCGGUUCUCAAGUCCGUUGUGAAAGCCCCGGGCUCAAACUGGGAAUGGCAGUGGAAACUAGGGGACUGGAAUCUGGCAGAGGGGGGUGGAAUGCCGCGUGUAGCAGUGAAAUGCGUAGAGAUGCGGCGGAACACCUAUGGCGAAGGCAGCCCCCUGGGCUGAGAUUGACGCUCAGGCACGAAAGCGUGGGGAUCAAACAGG